rnacentral:rRNA from 1 species
UACAGAGGUCCCAAGCGUUGUUCGGAUUCACUGGGCGUAAAGCGUGCGCAGGCGGUGAUGUAAGACAGUUGUGAAAUCCCCGGGCUCAACCUGGGAACUGCAUCUGUGACUGCAUCGCUGGAGUACGGUAGAGGGGGAUGGAAUUCCGCGUGUAGCAGUGAAAUGCGUAGAUAUGCGGAGGAACACCGAUGGCGAAGGCAAUCCCCUGGACCUGUACUGACGCUCAUGCACGAAAGCGUGGGGAGCAAACAGG